CGGUAAAUAUGUUGCAGUUAAAGGACUUAGAGCGUGAAAUGGAAAUGUAGAGUCAGAGUGUCGGUACACAGAUCGUGUGAGACGCCUGCUAAAUUCCCCUCACUGCUACUCGUCCUCUCCCGACUACAAACCUAACACCCAAAAUCCUCAAAAAUCUAUUCGGCGGCCGUACCAACACCCAAAAUCCUCCAAAAUCUAUACGGCGGCCGCACCGCAGGCACACGCGACGAUGCCGCCGAGGCUGGUGCGGGAGCUGGGCGAGAUGGAGGAGCUCGUGGAGGAGACCCUCACCCGCCUCCCGCCGGACGAGCCAGCGGCAGCUGGUGUUGUGGCUGAAGCAUCAAGUGAAGCUCGACACGUCAAUGAGGAAGCAUAACUCUCAAGCAAUGGAAGUUCAUCAGUUUGCUGUUUUGGUGUUGGCUUUGGUUUGAUUUUCAAGUUUGAUGGGUGAUGGGAGUGUAGUGUGAGUUGGAUGGGUGAUGGGAGAGUUGUGUUAUGUCUUGUUAAUUAAGAACCCGUCUCUAAUUUUUAUAGCUGUGCUAUUGA